AGUGAACGCUGGCGGUAGGCCUAACACAUGCAAGUCGAACGGCAGCACAGUAAGAGCUUGCUCUUACGGGUGGCGAGUGGCGGACGGGUGAGGAAUACAUCGGAAUCUACUUUUUCGUGGGGGAUAACGUAGGGAAACUUACGCUAAUACCGCAUACGACCUACGGGGGAAAGCAGGGGAUCUUCGGACCUUGCGCGAUUGAAUGAGCCGAUGUCGGAUUAGCUAGUUGGCGGGGUAAAGGCCCACCAAGGCGACGAUCCGUAGCUGGUCUGAGAGGAUGAUCAGCCACACUGGAACUGAGACACGGUACAGACUCCUACGGGAGGCAGCAGUGGGGAAUAUUGGACAAUGGGCGCAAGCCUGAUCCAGCCAUACCGCGUGGGUGAAGAAGGCCUUCGGGUUGUAAAGCCCUUUUGUUGGGAAAGAAAAGCAGCAGGUUAAUACCCCGCUGUUCUGACGGUACCCAAAGAAUAAGCACCGGCUAACUUCGUG
rnacentral:rRNA from 1 species